AUGGUGCGGGCGAGCCCCUGCUCCGGACGGCCCCCUGCCUUUCGAUGUGGGGACGCUUUCUUGUUUGAGAUUGCGGAUUUGGACGAUGGCGUCGAGAUGCGGUUUCAAAAUGCACAGUAGUCUUCAACAAGGAAAUAAAAUUAUGUGUUCAACAUAAAGGUUUCCUUUAAAAUAGGUAUUGAGGGAAUUCAAAGGAGCCAACUUGUAAAAACAAUUCGUUUUGUCUUUAAGAUUAGUUAGAACCUGUUUCAGUUCAUUUGGUUAGGCAAAAUUAACUAAUCUAUAAAAAGUGUGUGUGUGUGUGUGUGUGUGUUUGUGUGUGUGUGUAGAUGCAAAGGUAGGUAUAUCUCCUUGUCUUGAUAAUACAGGUUUUCUAUACGGGUAAAACUAAAACUAGACUGAACAGCUUUCUGAGUUUCCACUGUUUAAAAUACGCUGAUUCUGAUUCUUAGAAUAGGUGAGAACUUUUAAAAAUCCUUUGAAAUUUCGCUUCUUGAAUAUAUGGAAAUUGUUUUAAAUGUGUUUCUAAACGUUUGAGUCUAAUAUCGGAGUAAAGGGAAAUUCGAAGUACCAAAGCUUGAGGAGUAGCCCUGUUAAGUAUCUUUUACCCUAAACGACGUUUUCUAGGUAUUCGAACAAGAAGAUAAAGGAUAAUCUGGGGAGAAAACUGACAAAUAACAAGGCUCGUAUUGAUGCAGUUUUUAGCUUCAGUUUCAUGCCUUCUUCAAAAACAAAAUAACAUGAUUUCACUUAAUUGAACACACAACAAGAAUUAGAGACUUGGAAAUGACAAAGACAGGAACGGAUGCCUCCAGAAAAGAUGAUGACAUUAAUGACAUACUUCAUUUCAAGAGACAUGAGCUCAUUUCCUGUGAGAGGGAUUCCUACCAAAUGAGAUUUGAUGCUAAAUAAAUUUAUCUUACAGACCUUCCUUAAA